GCACUUCAAAGAAGAAGAGCUGCAUUUAGGCCUCCCAGUGCUGCAUAUUUAACAUCCGAAGAGCAGACUUGAACUCCAAGGCAAUGGAUUUGAAACCCUGUACGACUAAAGUUAUCAACUUUACCCUGAAGCAAAUAGCCCUGUGGCACGCUGCAAAAUAAAGAAAAAGCACAAGUCAUCAGAAACAUCAUCGUGCUCAGCAAAUUAUCUUCAACAGCAACCCCAUCAAGAGAAUUGUGGAAUAAUCAGCAUGAGGAAUGGAUGUCAGUCUGAGACAGAUGCCUACAUUUCUGGAUCUUCCAUGUAUAUGACGGCAGAUCCCCCCCAAGGUGCUUUUUUAUGAUAAAAAAUGGGCUUCUGGCAUCAAGCCUGGAGCACCGAUUCAUGCUACCAUCAGAAACAGGUA
rnacentral:lncRNA from 1 species